rnacentral:misc_RNA from 1 species
UAAAUGUCUGACGUUUUGGAUACUUUAUAGCAACUAUGGUCACGGGAGGACCAUUAACCGGUUUUCAAAAAACUUAAUAAACCGCGAUAAAACCAGAAAAAGUCGUUUUAUUAUAUAAUUUAUUAAAGUCAAUAAUUUGUCAGAUGAUUAUUCAAAGUACUUUUAAAGCCGAUUUCAAUCAAAGUUUAUAUUGAAAAGGCAAUAUAAUAACCUUCAAAUAAACAUUAAUAAAAAUAAUAAAAACUCUUUAUUGAACACCAACACCAAGAAUGAGCAUAAUAAAAAAAUAAAAAAACAGGAGAUAAGUACAAUAUUUACUUUAUAUAAAAGAUUAUGUAAACUUUUCCACAAAUAUAAAAAUGUAUACAACUGUUAAGGCACACAGGCUAUAUGUAACAAUAGUUAAGGCACAUAGUGGUGUUACAGUUUGGAAGACAUAUUCAGUAAUUUGGCAAUCUGGUAAUAUAUUAUAGCAUUAAGAGCAUGUUUCGCAGUUACCCAUAAACGUUAUUUGAUAGAUGACGGUAUAUAGCAGAUAAAAGUUAAAAAUAUAUCAUUCUUUUUCACCAUCAAAUUGCACUAUAUGACAUUUUUUUUUUAUUUUCAAGUUGUAGUUUAUUGACUGAGGUGAAACAGGUUCUAAACGUUUAUUCUACCUCCUUCUUAUAAAGUACCUAUAUUUGUAAUUUAUGUACAGGAUAAAUUUUAUCCACAAAUGGUGAUAAAACUCUAAAAUCCAUGUUUAAAGUUAAAAAUUGAUACACUUAUAUAGAUAAGUAGAACAGCAUAUGACUACAGUUUAUAUGGAAAUUUUCAUUGUUUGUGUUACUACAAACUAAAGUAACAAUCAUUUUUUUUUUUGAAGAUACUUCUUUAGGCUCAUUAGGGAAAAAUGAUGAGAGUACAUUUUUACGAUGCACACACACACCGUCACAAAAAACCGACGCCCUGAAGUUAGUUAGUCAACAAAGAAGAAGUUAGCAACGUAAAUUUAGCUACCCAAUGAAUGUGUGUACACACCGUCACAAAAAAUGGACACCCUGAAGUUAGCUAGUCAAUGAAAAAGUUAGGUAGUCAACAGAGAAGUUAGCUAGUCAACGAAGUAUAACUUCUUACGUGCGUACAUAAGUACAUACACACUUUUUUUGUUAAAAUAUAUUUUUAAUUAUCUGUUAUGUGUAUCUAUAUAUUAUACAAAUCUCGUCUUGACAAUAAUGUACAUAUAGAGAAUUAUACAAAAUUUGGAAGUUAUGGUCAUAUAUACAUUUUGGCGAUUCAUUUUUAUUUACGUAUAUUCUGCUACAUCACUUUUUACUGACUGUUCUUGAUUGUUCUCCGAACCUUACCACACUUGUGAUCGACGAAUAAAUAAUGUCUUUUAAAAGUUUUACUGCAUUUAAGGCAAAUGUAUUUCCUUAUAUUCAUGUGUGUUUCUCUAAUAUGAGCUCUGAGACUUUUCUUUAUCAUUUCACGUUUACAAUAAUCACAAAUCGCUUUCGAAAACUGAUCGACAAAGUGCGAUCCAUAUGUAGACUUUUUAUUACUGACAUUCUCGAUUUCAGAUACAUUUUCGAUCUUGGUAACUUUUUUUAUUGUGAUCAUAUUGUUGUUGAUUUUCGUCAUUUUUACAAAAGCGUCAGUACUGCCGACUUUUUCUAUCCAGCUUUCGUUUAAAUCUUUAUUAAAAUGUGAAGGUUGAUUACUAAAUUCUAUGUUAAAAUGACAUUUUCGUAUGUGAUGGUCUAGCACUCUUUUCUCACAGAACACAACACUGCACGCUUUGCACGUGAAUCCUACGUAAUCAGGAUUGAUAGGUUCAUCGUGUAUCUUCUUCAAAUGUACGAUUAAAUUGUAUUUAUUAACGAAAUCCCGCCCGCAAUAGUCACACAGAAACUUUUUCUUUUUGUCUUCUUUUCCUGAGUGACUUUUCAUAUGACGAUUAUACGAAUCCCUUCGGAAAUAUUCUUUCAAACAAUAUUUACACGUGAAUCUCGGUUUUACAGCGUCGUGUCCGAAUAAAUGCGAUUUAAAUUUAUAGGCACUAUUCGCCAUAUACUUUGCAACACCAUGCGUGGCAGAGGGAGGCGGAUUUAAAGCUAUGGAAGAUGUUUUCAACAAAACAAUCGAAAAACCGAUGUCGAUGUUCAAACAAUAUAUGUUUGGUGCUUAAAUGAAACGAAAAUCAAGAAAGCGUCGACGAAAACAUUCAACAGUACUCGAUGAAAUAUUGUUUAAAGUUGUCCUGCAGUUAUUUCAAAAUUAAUAAAUAUUUUUAGUUGUUAUUAUACUUUAUUUUAUUUAAAAACUUUAACCUAUAUAUUUAGAAAAUUUAAUACACCAAUAAUUAGCACAAAAAAGUGUUUGUACUUAUGUACGCAUGUAAGAAGUUAUACUUCAUUGGCUAGCUAACACUACGUUGCUAAGUGACUCCUUUUUCGUUGACUAACUAACUUCAGGCCUCAGGGUGCAAGCUUUUUAUGACAGUGUGCGUGCACCGUAAUAUAACAAAA